rnacentral:rRNA from 1 species
GAUGAACGCUGGCGGCGUGCCUAAUACAUGCAAGUCGAGCGAAUGGACGAGAAGCUUGCUUUUCUGAUGUUAGCGGCGGACGGGUGAGUAACACGUGGAUAACCUACCUAUAAGACUGGGAUAACUUCGGGAAACCGGAGCUAAUACCGGAUAAUAUUUUGAACCGCAUGGUUCAAAAGUGAAAGACGGUCUUGCUGUCACUUAUAGAUGGAUCCGCGCUGCAUUAGCUAGUUGGUAAGGUAACGGCUUACCAAGGCAACGAUGCAUAGCCGACCUGAGAGGGUGAUCGGCCACACUGGAACUGAGACACGGUCCAGACCCCUACGGGAGGCAGCAGUAGGGAAUCUUCCGCAAUGGGCGAAAGCCUGACGGAGCAACGCCGCGUGAGUGAUGAAGGUCUUCGGAUCGUAAAACUCUGUUAUUAGGGAAGAACAUAUGUGUAAGUAACUGUGCACAUCUUGACGGUACCUAAUCAGAAAGCCACGGCUAACUACGUG